rnacentral:rRNA from 1 species
GACGUAGGAGGCGAGCGUUAUCCGGAUUCACUGGGAGUAAAGCGCAUGUAGGCGGCUCGAUAAGUCGUGUGUUAAAGCCCCUGGCUCAACUGGGGGAGGUCAUGCGAGACUACCGGACUUGAGGGCAGUAGAGGCACGUGGAACUCCCGGUGUAGCGGUGGAAUGCGUAGAGAUCGGGAAGAACACCCGUGGCGAAGGCGACGUGCUGGGCUGCAACUGACGCUGAGAUGCGAAAGCGUGGGGAGCAAACAGG